rnacentral:lncRNA from 1 species
CUAUAAACGCUAUAAAGCUGAGCUCAUGUACACAAAGCAUCAGCCAUACCAACAUGAAUCGAUAUCCAGUUUCAACAUUGCUGUAACUAAUUUAGGUAACCUUUUCCUUCCACUAUUUGCACCUUACUAUGAACAGGUCCAUUACUGAUCAUGCUAAUGCAGAAACAAAAGGGCAUGCAACUCAUCCAGCUCUCCCUCGAGGACCUCAUAUCAGUCCUCUUCUCUGAAUUUUUUUGUUUUGGACUGCUGCCUAUAUAUCGUGUACAUUGUCCGCUUCCUGUGCGGGCUCUCCUACUAGUGAACCUUGUUGUUUCUUGAUUAAUGGUUGUUUGUUCAUUACUACUUACUUUACAAAAUUACUACUUAGUUUAGAGAUCUCAGUUUAUGCUAUCAGCUUGCCAUAAUUCAAAUAUAUAUAUUCCAGCCGCGG